GACUCAGGACCUCUGGAAGAGCAGCAGCCAGUGCUCCCAACCACUGAACCAUCUCUCCAGUCCCUAGAACAAGCUUCUUAACUGCCACCCUCUAAAGUGCCUGCGCCUCUCUCCGUGGCAUCCACGACAGUGCCUGGAACACAGUAGCGUAAUGACUAAGGGACCUCAGAAGAGGCUUAGCCUGGGGCCCAUUUCUGUUCCACCGGUCUCAACAGAAGCCAGAAGACCUCUUCCCUUCCAUGCUGUCUCUCCCGCCUACAGAUUCUACCUCCUAAGGCUUCACAACUACACUCUGGAGACGACUCUUGUUAGGAGAGAGGACAUGGGCUCAGGCUUGUCACAUCCCCAGAGCACCUAGCCCACAGAAUGCUGAAAUCAUGAUGUUUUUGGAGUGGAGUGGAGGA
rnacentral:sRNA from 1 species